rnacentral:rRNA from 1 species
AUUGAACGCUGGCGGCAGGCCUAACACAUGCAAGUCGAGCGGAUGAAGGGAGCUUGCUCCUGGAUUCAGCGGCGGACGGGUGAGUAAUGCCUAGGAAUCUGCCUGGUAGUUGGGGAUAACGUCCGGACACGGGCGCUAAUACCGCAUACGUCCUGAGGGAGAAAGUGGGGGAUCCUCGGACCUCACGCUAUCAGAUGAGCCUAGGUCGGAUUAGCCAGUUGGUGGGGUAAAGGCCUACCAAGGCGACUAUCCGUAACUGGUCUGAGAGGAUGAUCAGCCACACUGGAACUGAGACACGGUCCAGACUCCUACGGGAGGCAGCAGUGGGGAAUAUUGGACAAUGGGCGAAAGCCUGAUCCAGCCAUGCCGCGUGUGUGAAGAAGGUCUUCGGAUUGUAAAGCACUUUAAGUUGGGAGGAAGGGCAGUAAGUUAAUACCUUGCUGUUUUGACGUUACCAACAGAAUAAGCACCGGCUAACUUCGUG